rnacentral:rRNA from 1 species
ACCAACAGGGAUUGCCUCAGUAACGGCGAGUGAAGCGGCAUCAGCUCAAAUUUGAAAUCUGGCUCUUUUAGAGUCCGAGUUGUAAUUUGCAGAGGGCGCUUUGGCAUAGGCAGCGAUUCAAGUUCCUUGGAACAGGACGUCACAGAGGGUGAGAAUCCCGUACGUGGUCGCUAGCUCUUGCCGUGUAAAGCCCCUUCGACGAGUCGAGUUGUUUGGGAAUGCAGCUCUAAAUGGGAGGUAAAUUUCUUCUAAAGCUAAAUAUUGGCCAGAGACCGAUAGCGCACAAGUAGAGUGAUCGAAAGAUGAAAAAAACUUUGGAAAGAGAGUUAAACAGCAUGUGAAAUUGUUGAAAGGGAAGCGCUUGCAGCCAGACUUGCCUGUAGUUGCUCAUCCGGGCUCUUGCCCGGUGCACUCUUCUGUAGGCAGGCCAGCAUCAGUUUGGGCGGUUGGAUAAAGGUCUCUGUCAUGUACCUCUCUUCGGGGAGGCCUUAUAGGGGAGGCGACAUACAACCAGCCUAGACUGAGGUCCGCGCAUUCGUGCUAGGAUGCUGGCGUAAUGGCUGUAAGCGGCCCGUCUUGAAACACGGACCAAGGAGUCUAACAUCUAUGCGAGUGUUUGGGUGUCAAGCCCGAGCGCGUAAUGAAAGUGAACGGAGGUGGGAACCCCUCGGGGUGCACCAUCGACCGAUCCUGAUGUCUUCGGAAGGAUUUGAGUAAGAGCAUGGCUGUUGGGACCCGAAAGAUGGUGAACUAUGCUUGAAUAGGGUGAAGCCAGAGGAAACUCUGGUGGAGGCUCGCAGCGGUUCUGACGUGCAAAUCGAUCGUCAAAUUUGGGCAUAGGGGCGAAAGACUAAUCGAACUAUCUAGUAGCUGGUUCCUGCCGA